GCGCUGCGGGCGCGGCGCUGACCCGGAGGCGGCGGCGGCGGUGCCCGGAUGGAGGCACGUCAUUGUCCCCCGCCGGGCGGCUGGGCUGUGUGCGGCGGCGGCGGCGGCGGCGGCCGAGGGGGAUGGAGCGAGCGCCGAGCCGGGUCAGAGUUGAACAAUGACCAUAGUUGACAAAGCUUCUGAAUCUUCAGACCCAUCAGCCUAUCAGAAUCAGCCUGGCAGCUCCGAGGCGGUCUCACCUGGAGACAUGGAUGCGGGUUCUGCCAGCUGGGGAGCUGUGUCUUCGCUAAAUGAUGUUUCAAAUCACACACUUUCUUUAGGACCAGUACCUGGUGCUGUAGUUUAUUCAAAUUCAUCUGUACCUGAUAAAUCAAAACCAUCACCACAAAAGGACCAAGCCCUAGGUGAUGGCAUUGCUCCUCCACAAAAAGUUCUUUUCCCAUCUGAGAAGAUUUGUCUUAAGUGGCAGCAGACUCAUAGAGUUGGAGCUGGGCUCCAGAAUUUGGGCAAUACAUGUUUUGCCAACGCAGCACUGCAGUGUUUGACUUACACGCCGCCUCUUGCCAAUUACAUGCUAUCUCAUGAACACUCCAAGACAUGUCAUGCAGAAGGAUUUUGUAUGAUGUGUACAAUGCAAGCACAUAUCACCCAGGCGCUCAGUAAUCCUGGGGAUGUUAUUAAGCCGAUGUUCGUCAUUAAUGAGAUGCGGCGUAUAGCUAGGCACUUCCGCUUUGGAAACCAAGAAGAUGCCCACGAAUUCCUUCAGUACACUGUUGAUGCUAUGCAAAAAGCAUGCUUGAAUGGCAGCAAUAAAUUAGACAGACACACCCAGGCUACCACCCUCGUUUGUCAGAUAUUUGGAGGAUACCUAAGAUCGAGAGUCAAGUGUUUAAAUUGCAAAGGUGUCUCGGAUACGUUCGACCCAUAUCUCGAUAUAACGUUGGAGAUAAAGGCCGCUCAGAGCGUGAACAAGGCGUUGGAGCAGUUUGUGAAGCCGGAGCAGCUCGACGGGGAAAACUCUUACAAGUGCAGCAAGUGUAAAAAGAUGGUUCCAGCUUCAAAGAGGUUCACUAUACACAGAUCCUCUAAUGUUCUUACACUUUCUCUGAAACGUUUUGCAAAUUUUACUGGUGGAAAAAUUGCUAAGGAUGUGAAAUACCCUGAAUAUCUUGAUAUCCGACCGUACAUGUCUCAGCCGAAUGGAGAACCGAUCAUCUAUGUUCUGUACGCAGUGCUGGUGCACACCGGCUUUAACUGCCAUGCCGGCCACUACUUCUGCUACAUCAAAGCGAGCAAUGGCCUCUGGUACCAAAUGAAUGACUCCAUCGUAUCUACCAGUGAUAUUAGAUCGGUACUCAGUCAGCAAGCUUACGUUCUCUUUUAUAUCAGGUCCCACGAUGUGAAAAAUGGAGGUGAACUCACUCAUUCCACUCACAGCCCCGGCCAGUCCUCACCCCGACCUGUGAUCAGCCAACGUGUUGUCAACAACAAGCAGGCUGCGUCAGGGUUUAUCGGACCACAGCUCCCCUCUCACAUGAUAAAGAAUCCACCUCACUUAAAUGGGACCGGGCCACUGAAGGAAGCACCAAGCAGUUCCAUGUCGAGUCCCAGUGGAAAUUCUAGUGUCAGCCGGGCUGGUUCUGUUAAUGCUUCGACUUCUGUUCAAAACUGGUCUGUUAACAGGCCAUCAGUGAUUCCGGAACACCCCAAGAAACAAAAAAUCACGAUCAGUAUUCACAACAAGUUACCUGUUCGCCAAGGCCAGUCUCAGCCCAACCUUCACAGCAGUUCUUUGGAGAACCCAACCAAGCCUGUUCCCUCUUCUACCAUUACCAACUCUUCUGCAAUACAGCCUACCUCGAGCGCGCCUACGACGGCGGUUUCUAGUAAAGUCACAAAGCAGAUGCCCCCGAGCGAGUCCUGUUCUCAGCCCGUGAUGAACGGCAAGUCCAAGCUGAGCUCCAGCGUCCUGGUGCCCUAUGGCGCCGAGUCGUCCGAAGAGUCCGACGAGGAGGCCAAGGGCCUAGGCAAGGAGAACGGUCUCGGUGCAACCGAGAGCUCGGACUCUCCUGUGCAGGGUGCGGAAGACGACGAGGCCUGUCCGCUCGAGCUUCGAGAGCCCCUUGCUCUGAACGGUGCUGACAGUACAGACAGCGACCUGAAGGAAAACGGUCUGCCUUGUGAUGGUGCCAGUUGCCAAGUCCCGCCUACUCUACACUCAGAAAAUCCCUUUUCUAAGGCGAAUGGUCUGCCGGGAAAGUUGAUGCCUGCUCCUCUGCCGCCUCUCCCAGAAGACAAAAUCUUAGAGACCUUCAAACUCAGCAACAAGGUGAAAGGUUCGACAGAAGAAACCAGAUGGGGCUGCAGUGCUCCUGGAACAGAGGAAGGUCCUGCAGACGAUCCUGGCAUGGAGCUGGAGCCUGGCAGUCCCUCUCCCGAGUCCCAUGAGAAACCGGAGACCCUCACGAGCCUUAGCAGCAAGUUAAAGAAGGCUUUGCCACCCUUAGACCCCAGUGUCAAAUCUACCAAAGAAGAAGUCUCUGAAAACAUUUUAGCAAAACCCGAGGAGUCUUUGCCCAGUGCCAACACCCUUUGCAGCAGCACUAAGAAUACCGUCGGCGACGAUCCACUCCCUAAACUGUGCAGCCCUGGGGACUUAACAGAUGACCAGAGCAGACCACCCCAGGCCGGAUCGGGGGUGUUACUAGAGAGCCCCCGGGCCUCGGCCGCAGUGGAGGCUGCGGGGAGUUCCAGCCCGAGUGCCCCGGUACACUCCGAGGAUGCCUGUGAGCACGAACUCUUAGUCUACAUCAGUCGAGACACGUGCUCGGACUUGGAGGACCCUCCUCGGAGCGGAGGCGCGGCGGCCGAGGGCUUGCCCUCUCCUCAAGCAGACAAGAUCACAGAAAAUCAUUCAGAAGGGGGCCCCGAACAAAGUAACGGGGAGAAAUGUGAAGAAAACAUGGUCGGACAAAAAGUUCCAGAUCAUUCUCCAGUUAAGGAAAAAAUCAGUAUCCUCAGAAAAGUUGAUCGAGGACAUUAUCGCAACCGAAGAGAUCGUUCCUCCAGCGGAGAGCGUGCGCGGGAGAGCAGGAGCAAGACGGAGGAGCGCUACCACAAAAAGCGGCGCUCGUCUGUGCGGGAGCGGGGCCCCCAGCAGGACCGCUACAGGACGGAGCACGGCAGCGGGGGCCAGCACCACCCCUGUCACGGCGAGAGGCUCAGCCCCGGCGAGCACCGCUCCCUGGGCAGGUACGGCCACCACCACUCCCGCGGCAGAGGCGGCUCGGACCAGGAGUGGAGCAGGUACCACCACCCCGAAGGCGAGCACUCCUGGGCCCGGGAGAAGUACUACCCCGACAGACUGCGGUGGGACAAGUGUAGGCAUUACCACGACAGGUACGCCCUGUACGCGGCCCGGGAGGUGCGCGAGUGGAGGCCCUUCCCCGGCGCCCGUGAGUACGCCAAGGCGGGCCCGUCCGGCGGCCGGCCCUACAAGGACUACUACAGGGGGCGGAAGGGCCACGAGCUGCUCGCCAAGGGGAAGGACCGGCACCGCUUCGGCAGCCCCCGGGCAGGCCCGCCGCACACCCUCCUCCCGUACCCCGACAAGUACCCCCACGAGAAAAUUGCACUUGUAGCCGAAGACACCAAUUGUAACCUCGCCGAUCGCUUCCACGAACACGAGAAUGCCAAGUCCCGGAAACGGAGAUACGACAGCUUGGAGAACAGUGACGGUCACCUCGAGAGAAAGGCCUGGAGGGGCUUCCAGAAGGAUCCCUUGGAAGAGCCUAAAGUGAAGAAGCACAAAAAAUCAAAGAAGAAAAAGAAAUCCAAAGACAAACACCGAGGCCGAGAUUCCAGGCAUCAGCAGGACUCCGAUCUUUCAGUAGCAUGCUCUGAUGCUGAUCUCCACAGACACAAAAAAAAGAAGAAGAAAAAGAAGAGGCACUCCAGGAAGUCCGAGGACUUUGUUAAAGACUCAGAGCCGCACCUGCCCAAGGCCGUCAGCCAUGAGACUGUUGACCGUUUCCGGAGAACGGACGGCGCUUUCCCCCUCACCGACGGCCUGCCUCUGGAAGGUGCUGGGCCUUUCCGUGAGAAGAGAAAACACUUAAGGAUGGGAAGCAGGGAUGACAGGGGUCCUCUGUCUGAGUGUGGCCAGGGUAAGAGGAGACACUUGGAAUUAAGACUAUAGAAAUGAUUCUUGUUAACACCGGGGAAGAAACCCUCACUUGGCGUCGAAGGGGGUGCGUGUUCGCGGGAGCCCGUGCGCCCCCCGUCAGCUCCAGCCUCGGCUCCCGGGUGUGGCGCGGGCUUCAGCUGCCCAGUGGGGUGCUGCAGGCCGACCCCGUAGCACGUGUGUGAAGCCGCAGGGACUCGGACCUGGGCUCGGCGGAGCCUCUGUGGCAAGACCUCUGGUCUGGGGCCCUGGCUGUGUGGGAGUCUCCUGAAGGACCGGGGCUUUUAUUCUUAAGCCAUUUCUGAUCAAAGUAGUUACACAGCGUGUGCUUUCCCUCCGGAGUAGUUAAACCUCUGGCAUUCUGAGUGGAAGCUGAAGCUCCGUGGGAGGGAUGUCCCCUGUCGGCCCCUGGCCGGGCCGAGGCCUUGCGGGCAUCUGUGUUGUGGGGCCUUGGCUCCCGCUGAGCAAACCCCUCCACGUUGGGAGCGUGGGGGGCUUGGGUUCUUACCCACUUGGCACCGCUGUCUUCCGAUGUCACCUUUUAGCCCUUUCUGUUCUGACCGCAUUUGAAGCAGCCCCUUGGCGCCAUCUGCUCUUCGCCCGGGCCGCAGAGUGCGGGCCUGGAGUGGGGUGGCGGGCUCGGCGGCCUCUGUGCCCCGUGGGGUCAGCCUGCUGCAGCCUGCGGGUGCCGCCCGUCUCCACGGGGCCUGCUGGUGAAGAAGGCCAAGGCCUUCGCAGGUUUGAAAUGGCUGGCGGAGCCCAAAUGAGAUGUCGCGGCCCGUGAGACACGCCCGUGUCCGGAGCCGUGCGGGGGCGAGCCCAGCCUUCCCGCCUGCACCGCGCCGCGCUGCCCUGGCAGGUCGCUGCCGAGAGCCUGUGUGGCCCCAGAGAGGGACGGGGUGGUCCUCUGGCCUUUUGUACGAGGAGCUCGCUGAGCCCUGCCCUAGACGCCCGAGGGGCGCUUUCGUGACUUUGAUACGGCGUCUUGGUUGCCCACAGUCUCUUUGUGUUGUGAACUUGGGGGAGACGCGCGUGUUUUGGGGGCAGGCCCGUCUGCCCCGCGGCCCGCUGUCAGUGCGGCUGUGGACGGAGGGGGGCCAGACGGGCCGGAGCGCUGGCUUUAGAGGAGCAGACGCCGUGGCGCUGUCCCAGCCGGUGGGGCUGUGCAGCGGGACGUGCUGUGGGGAGCCCGGGUGGCACAGGGUAGAGGACGAGGGUGGCCGUGGCCAGCUGGAAAGUGACAUUGGCUGUUGUCUGCUCUGGGUUUUUUAGAUUAAUCAUGUGAAUCUUUGGUCUGUGUCCCACGAGCAUUUUGGUGAUUUAGGGAAGGGCUUGGCUUGGUGCGGAUUGAGUCCCUUCUAACUCUCCUUGGUGCUUGGGAGGAAGCAGUGGGCGGCGCCUGAGGGAAUUCUCUGUUGCUAGAAUGUUCCCCGCCCGGCUGCAGUCCCGUAAGGGGCACACUCAGAGGCUGCCAGAGCACAGUGGAGGGCAGCUCCCCCACAAACACGGCUCUGGAGCGAAAGCAGGCUGCUGUGUACCUCGGUGGUUGGCCUGUGGGGCUCCAGACAUGUGUCUAAGGGCCGCAGUCAGGCUUUGGGUCAAGCAGUGGCCGUGUCUGUCUUGUCCGAUUGCGCUCGAUGGGCGUUGUGCAGCCGGCGUGGCCAAGGGGAGCAGGUUGAGGAACCCAUGUGUCUGUACCCUCCUGUCCUCAAGGAUAAGGGGGCACCUGCUUGGGCUUCCAUGCUAAGCACCCCUAUCUUCUGGCCAAGGAUGCCAGACCCCUUUGCCUGCCUGCCACGUGUUCCCUAUUUCUGAUACCUUGACCACUCACCUCUGAGACUCCUGUCCUCCGGGUGCAUGAAACCCUCACGUCAGUGUCUUUGGCUUGAGUUCUGUUCUGUCCUGCUGUUAAAAUGCUGAUCAGUUUGAUGGGCUGGGAGCGAACUGUUCCCGCAGGCUGUGGCUUUUCGCUGGGUCGCAGGCAUCACGUAAAGUCUUGUUUUCAGUCAGACACUGGGAGCGAUCGCCGUGCGACAGGGUACGCGUGCCCAGUCUGUGCGGGACGGGUUUCAGGCUGUGAGCAUCCGGCCAAGAACGGGUCCUGAGUGUCCUCACGCGAUGCCCAUGCACAGCACAGGCAUGAAAAAUGCUGCAGAACUAUCAUUAAAAUUUCUUUCCUGAUUCUUUGCUUUCUAGGUGAUUGAAAACUUGGCCUCAAAACAAAAAAUUCACUAGUUAUGAUUCAACGUGUUCAACAGAAGCCAUCCCCAACCCAGCUUAAAUUAUAAAUAUAGAAAAUAACUUUGUUCAAAUCUGCGUGGUGCUUCUUUAGUAAAUACUGUACAGAUUUUACCAUGGAGAACUUUUUUUUAGUUUUUACCUUUUCUUAAUUACCCUUAUUCCAAAUGGACGAACACUUUCUACAACUGCUGACCAUUGUAAAACACCGUGUAUAUAAAUCCCACGGACAGUGACGCCCUGGACUGGAACAUCUCAAAUGCUGCUUAAUCAGACUCAGGUGGACCGCUCGCAUUCCAUGGAAAGCUCCUCCACGGCAGACAUCCGGUGCAAGACCCGCCGGGAAACCAUGGAAUUAUUAAAAGUACAAACAAACUGACAGUAUGUAUAUUUAAUUUAAAGACUUAUUUAAAGAUUCACGAGCUCUCAACUCGACUUGAGAGCAGUCUGUUUUCUGUAAUGUCUGAUACUAGAAACUAAUUUGCUUCAUAUUUUAGUUGUAUUCAAGAUUUGAAAAUGUAUUUUAUAGACAAGUUCUGUUUUUGAACUUUGUGGAACUAUUCCAAUCAAUUUACCAGUUAUGAUGAGUAUUUACAUUAUGAAUGUAUAAUCCAAACAUUAUUUGUAAAGCCUACAGUAUGUUUUUAUUACUUAACACUUUUUUAUACAGUGUCUCUUGUCUUGACUAUGAUAUUGGAGUCUGAGUUGUCAGCUUGGUCCCUUAAAGUUUCUAGUUACAGACAAAAUCAUACUGUGAUUUUAUUUUUAAUAUGGAUAUGCUAUCAAACUGUGAUACACUUAUAAUUCACUGGUCCUGCAUCAGGAGACGGAGUGGGGAAACUGUAUUUAAUACAGUUUGUAUCUGAAUAAUCUGUAUGGUUUAUACAGUUUGUGUUGUUCAGAGAUGUCUAAAGUUUGAUCUUUGUUUUUUUAAAGAUUAAAAAAGCACUUGCCCCACUGUAAAUAUACAGCAUGUAAAAUUUAUAUAGUAUAUAAAUGGCAGCAAAUUAAA